UUCCGUAGGUGAACCUGCGGAAGGAUCAUUAAUGAACUUUGAACUGCUUGUGGCUCUUGGGCUGUUGCUGACGAGGACCUUCACGGGUUCUUCGUACGUGCACGUCUGGGGUUGCAGCUUUCUUCGUCCACCUGUGCACACUCUGUAGGUCUGGAUACCCCAUUGGAAGGGUGCGCUUUUUGCGCUCCCUUUGCCUUCCAGGCCUAUGUCUUACAAACACUAUAGUAUGUAACGAAUGUCAUUGAUUAUUGGACUUCACUGUCCUUUAAACUAAAUACAACUUUCAACAACGGAUCUCUUGGCUCUCGCAUCGAUGAAGAACGCAGCGAAAUGCGAUAACUAAUGUGAAUUGCAGAAUUCAGUGAAUCAUCGAGCCUUUGAACGCACCUUGCGCCCUUUGGUACUCCGAAGGGCAUGCCUGUUUGAGUGUCAGUAACUUCUCAACCUCCCUCACUUUGUUGUGAGCUGGCGGAUUGGAUGUGGGGGCUUGCUGGACCUUAUCUUUGGGUUCAGCUCCCCUGAAAUGCAUUAGCAGAAACCGUUACCUUUUGGCGCGCUGCAGCUGUGAUAAUUAUCUACGGCUAUGGCUGGGCUGACUGUGUUGUAGCGCUCGUCUCGUCUCUGAAGUGGUUUCGCCUUAGUUGGUGCUUCCCUUUGCCUUCUCUCUCACGAGAGAUACCUGUGACGCGAGUGCGCGGGCUAUUCCGCUUCUAACCGUCCCCUUGUGGGACAAACUAUUGACCAUUUGACCUCAAAUCAGGUAGGACUACCCGCUGA
rnacentral:rRNA from 1 species